CCUACGGGUGGCAGCAGUGAGGAAUAUUGGUCAAUGGUCGGGAGACUGAACCAGCCAAGCCGCGUGAGGGAUGAAGGUACAGAGUAUCGUAAACCUCUUUUGUCAGGGAACAAAGGCGGGGACGUGUCCCCGGAUGAGUGUACCUGAAGAAAAAGCAUCGGCUACCUCCGUGCCAGCAGCCGCGGUAAUACGGAGGAGGCGAGGGUUUUGCGGAUUUAUGGGGUUAAAGGGGUGCGAAGGGGGUCUGUUAAGUCAGCGGUCAAAGCCCGGGGCUCAACCCCGGCCCGCCGUUGAAACUGGCAGUCUCGAGUUGGAGAGAGGUAUGCGGAAUGCGCGGUGGAGCGGUGAGAUGCAUAGAUAUCGCGCAGAACUACGAUUGCGAAGGCAGCAUGCCGGCUCCACACUGACGCUGAGGCACGAAAGCGUGGGUAUCGAACAGGAUUAGAUACCCCAGUAGUC
rnacentral:rRNA from 1 species